CACUGCGGGCAGGCGCUUCAUCAGAUACACGUCCACCACAAAGGCAGCCUUGGUUUCCAAGUUUAGCUCAGUAUUUUUAGGAGAACUGGCUUUUCGAACAGGAUCAGUGAAGACACGGUUUCCAGUGAAGAGCGAUCCAGAUGGUUUAACGAGGACUGACUGGUAGAAAUCCAUCUACAGCACUGCUGUGGAACGCUGGCAGGGAGAACCCAAGAACACCAAGUUCAGUAUUUAAUCUAUCUGCACAUUCGGACACUUUACUGUACCUAUUGCAGUUUCUGCACACCUCAUCACACAUCUGGACGCUCCACAUCUGGACGCUCCAGGAAGAGAGAACAAAGGCCACCAGGGGAAAACUGGACCUCAGACCCAGAGAGGGAACUGGGUAACUGAAGCGACGGAUGACUUUCCCAACAAAAACACAAGUAGAACAAGACGGAGAACAGAGAAGAGAACCUCAAGAGGCAGCUGGAUGCAAAACUUGCGGCCCUUUUACUCAAAUUACCGGCUGCCUCUGUUGACUCAAACUUCGUUUGACUCCUUCUCAGCCCUCACGAAGCCUCUGCCCGGUUGUAGGACGUUGGGUUUGAUUGGCCCUGGGAGGUGCGCGUUGUCUCCCUCUGGUGGCCAGGAGCACCGCAACCCUGAAGCCAGCCCUUACAGCCCAUGUGUCAAACACAAGGCCCGCCUCACAAUCCCAUCCCGCCGGAAAAGUAUUCGAACUUUCUAUUAAUAUUAACCCGAUUCACAAUGUGCUGCACUACCGUCCCCAACAUGCACGGCAAUGUGUGCUCCAACUCUCCCACCCCUAAAACAGUCUAUGGGACUGGGGUUACACCUCAUAUCACCAGGCAUGUCAACAAAAUGCACCUCAGCUGCAGUUUAAUCAGCUUAACAUUAGCUUAAUUAACUUACACAGAAAAGGAUGUCAGGCGUCAAAUUUACGGAGCACUUCAAUUUUGAUUAUUUCAAGUGUCCACGUAGAACAAGUGUCUGUAUUUUUAAUAAACACUGGCCAGUUCAGGUUUCAGCACAACAUUAAUUAAAAACGAAAUAAAGGUUGAGUUUGACA